CGCCAUCACUAUCGCCAUCGUCAUCGUGAGUACCGCCGCUCUUUUCACGCCGCCUCCUCCUCCGCCGAUCUUCAUAGAUCCACCGCCACCGCCACGAGAUCCAGAGGCUUCAUCGUUGAGAUGAACUCUGCUCCAUUGAUGCUCCGUCUCGUGUUGCUCCAACAAAGUAUAGGGGUUCUCUUGGGACCCUGUGUCAAAUUGGCACAUGCCUUGGAAUUAUUGCAUCACUCAUUUUAGGAAGUCCUUCAGAAAAUGAUCCCCACUGGUGGAGGACAAUUCUCUAUAUUGCGAGUGUCCCUGGAUUUAUUUUAUCCCUCGGUAUGCAGUUUGCUGUAGACAGCCCAAGGUGGCUAUGCGAAUGAAGCCUGCCUCACAUAAUCACAUGGUUGCUUGCACAUUGAAGAAGAGGAGAAUAGAGGUGCAAGAUGAACAAGGAUGAUGUGGUAUUAUUGAAUCACAUUGUGGAAAAUUAUGCCUAGGUAACAGGUAAAGUGGCCAUUGUUAUCAUGAAUCGACCAUUUAUGAACGUUGCUAAUAUAGUUAAAGCAAAGUCGAUGAAGUGGAGAAAUUCGUUUACUGCAGUGUGUGUGAAUGAUAAAUAUGUUUUGAAUUGCAUGGAAAUUUCAUAUGAUGGGUAAACACUGCUCAUGGUUUAUAGAAUAGUGGGCUAGAGAAUUCUGGAAUUGAUAGAUGGUUUUUGAUGUACAAAUGUGGAUAUGGCUUUUUUUGACAAAUACGGAAGGGCAUUGUUUUUAUAUCUCCGUCUGUAUAUAUAGUGGUUAUUGCAAAUUAGUUUUUUGGGGUGGUAAAUAUCCAAAAUUUGACUUGAUAGAAAUUAGCAUUGGAUGUGAUACAAAUUAGUUUUUAGGGCAGUACAGAAUAAAUUUUUGGUGUGGUAUAGAUUGCCUUUUGGAUAUUAAAUUUGGUUAAUCCUCUAUUAUGUAUGAAAUUAAAUUAUUGGGGUUGGAUUAUACUUGGUUCGUAUGAAUUUGUAUAGCAUGUAGAAUUGGACGUUGAAUAUAAAUUUUUUGGAUGGUUGGAAGUGAAAUGUGUACACGUUGUUGAAUGGUUGAUAAU